AUUGAACGCUGGCGGCAGGCCUAACACAUGCAAGUCGAGCGAGCGGCGGACGGGUGAGUAAUGUAUGGGGACUGCCCGAUAGAGGGGGAUAACUACUGGAAACGGUGGCUAAUACAGACUAAUGUCGGAUAACCCAAUUGGGAUUCGCUAGUAGGUAAGGUAAUGGCUUACCUAGGCGACGAUCCCUAGCUGGUCUUAGAGGAUGAUCAGCCACACUGGGACUGAGAUACGGCCCAGACUCCUACGGAGGAAGCAGUGGGGAAUAUUGCACAAUGGGCGCAAGCCUGAUGCAGCCAUGCGGCGUGGAUGAAGAAGGCCCUAGGGUUGUAAAGUACGUGCAGUCGGGAGGCGUUACCGACAGAAGAAGCACCGGCUAACUCCGUGCCAGCCGCCGCGGUAAUUC
rnacentral:rRNA from 1 species